rnacentral:piRNA from 1 species
UAGUAAACUCAAUCAAUGCGA